rnacentral:rRNA from 1 species
UUUUAAAUGAAGACCUGUAUGAACGGCUCCACGAAGGCUUAACUGUCUCCUUUUUCAAGUCAAUGAAAUUGAUCUCCCCGUGCAAAAGCGGGGAUACACCCAUAAGACGAGAAGACCCUAUGGAGCUUUAGAUGUUACAACAAGCAUUAUUGCUAUUCCCAAACAAAGGGAUACCACUAGCCCCUGCCCAAACAUCUUCGGUUGGGGUGACCAUGGGAAACAAGAAACUCCCACGUCUCUGUAUUGGAAUCUCCUUAACCCAACAAACUUCUUCAAACAAGAGCCACCACUCUAAUUAACAGAAUUUCUGACCACCGAUCCGGCAACGCCGAUUAACGAACCAAGUUACCCUAGGGAUAACAGCGCAAUCCCCUUUCAGAGCCCAUAUCGAUAAGGGGGCUUACGACCUCGAUGUUGGAUCAGGACAU